rnacentral:rRNA from 1 species
CGCUGGCGGCGUGCCUAACACAUGCAAGUCGAACGGGGAUUUGUUUCGGCAGAAUCCUAGUGGCGAACGGGUGAGUAACGCGUAGGCAACCUGCCCUCCGGCCGGGGACAACACUCCGAAAGGGGUGCUAAUACCGGAUACGAAGUCUGUGCCGCAUGGUACGGAUUUGAAAGAUGGCCUCUAUUUAUAAGCUAUCGCCGGGGGAUGGGCCUGCGUCCGAUUAGCUGGUUGGUGGGUAACGGCCUACCAAGGCGACGAUCGGUAGCCGGUCUGAGAGGAUGAACGGCCACAUUGGGACUGAGACACGGCCCAGACUCCUACGGGAGGCAGCAGUGGGGAAUCUUCCGCAAUGGGCGCAAGCCUGACGGAGCAACGCCGCCGUGAGUGAGGAAGUUCUUCGGAACGUAAAGCUCUGUUGUUCCUGACGAACCUCCCCUUUAUCAACAACGGAGGGGACUGACGGUAGGGAACGAGGAAGCCACGGCUAACUACGUGCCAGCCGCCGC